GGUUGAUCCUGCCAGUAGUCAUACACUUGUCUCAAAGAUUAAGCCAUGCAUGUCUAAGUAUAAGCAACAUUGUACCGUGAAACUGCGAAUGGCUCAUUAUAUCAGUUAUAGUUUCUUUGAUAGUUCCUGCUACAUGGAUAACCGUAGUAAUUCUAGAGCUAAUACAUGCCCCGAAUUCCUGCGUGCGGGCAACCGCGCAAGGGAAGCAUUUAUUAGAUCCACAACCAGCCCCGGCAACGGGACCCCCCCUGGUGAAUCAUGAUAACUGAGCGAACCGCAUGCGCGGGCAACC
rnacentral:rRNA from 1 species